CUCUCACUCUCUACCCGCUGGGCGGUACCCCGCAUCUCGCUCUGGCCGCCCCAGAGGUUCGCGGCUUCUGGACCUGCUGUGCCCCUCUCCAGCCUGGAUCAGGACGGAGAACACCCCCGAAACCCACCUCACCAGCACAGCCGGCGGACCCUUCCGGAGGUGGCCGCAGAGACUAGCCAACUUGCGCGCCCGCCGACCCGGACCACAGCUCCCAGCACACCUCAAGGGCCCACGCCCGCCAGGACUACAAUUCCCGGCGUCCUCCGGAAGCUCAAGUGUACCCAGGCGCGGUGCCUGCUGGGAAUUGUAGUUGACGUUGGUCAGCACGGAGGCCACAGGAUCCCAGCCCGGCCUUUGUGGGACUGAGGUGGCGCUGAGUGGGAGAGCAGCAGGCGAUGCGCGAAAGGCGGGACUUGGAGAUAAAUACUGAGCACCCACAACAGGCAGCCAGCACCACUGCAGAUUGGAUACUGCAAUGAUGAUAAGCAUGGCCUGCCUUUAUGGAGAGUUCAAGGCAUGUGGUGAUCAUGCUGCCUAAGAGUAUCUUUGUUUACCUGAGGACCUUGGGCCAUGCCAAGUAUUUGUCAACAAUGUGAUUUAUGGUGAGGAUCUUAGGCCACACUGUAACAGUCUGACCACUAGAGGGGUGGGAGACUAAGUGACUAAAGUCAGUCAGGUGGGCACUCCAUGCCCACUAGAUCAUCACCUAGUAAAUGUCCUGAACACCAAGGCUUGGGUGAGCUUCCUUGGUUGAUGCUACUCUAUAUUGUCACUCAGCGCUGGGAGAAUUCAGCAGUCUCUACAACAGCUGUACCUCCUCUCUUCUGGUUGCUGCCCUACGCAUCUUUUAUCUUUGUGAUUUUAAUCUGUAUCCUUUGACUAUAAACCGUAAAUGUUAAGUAUAUCAGUUUUCUAUGUUCCUCUAGUGAAUCUUCACACCUGAGGAUCUUGGGGACCCCCGCAUAGAGGCCAGCUAGAGGCUAGAUCUCAGCCUGACAGCC
rnacentral:lncRNA from 1 species